AUACGUAGGGUGCAAGCGUUAAUCGGAAUUACUGGGCGUAAAGCGUGCGCAGGCGGUCUUGUAAGACAGUGGUGAAAUCCCCGGGCUCAACCUGGGAACUGCCAUUGUGACUGCAAGGCUGGAGUGCGGCAGAGGGGGAUGGAAUUCCCCGUGUAGCAGUGAAAUGCGUAGAUAUGCGGAGGAACACCGAUGGCGAAGGCAAUCCCCUGGGCCUGCACUGACGCUCAUGCACGAAAGCGUGGGGAGCAAACAGGAUUAGAUACCCUGGUAGUCCACGCCCUAAACGAUGUCAACUGGUUGUUGGGGAUUUAUUUUCUCAGUAACGAAGCUAACGCGUGAAGUUGACCGCCUGGGGAGUACGGCCGCAAGGUUAAAACUCAAAGGAAUUGACGGGG
rnacentral:rRNA from 1 species